UACAGAGGUCUCAAGCGUUGUUCGGAUUCAUUGGGCGUAAAGCGCGCGUAGGCGGCUCGGAAAGUCGGUCGUGAAAUGCCGGGGCUCAACCCCGGGACUGCGUCCGAUACUCUCGAGCUGGAGGCAGGUAGGGGAGAUCGGAAUUCCUGGUGUAGCGGUGAAAUGACGCAGAUAUCAGGAGGAACACCGGUGGCGAAGGCGGAUCUCUGGGCCUUGCCUGACGCUGAGGCGCGAAAGCUAGGGGAGCGAACAGG
rnacentral:rRNA from 1 species